rnacentral:rRNA from 1 species
CUGGCGGCAGGCCUAACACAUGCAAGUCGAGCGCACCCCUUCGGGGGCGAGCGGCGGACGGGUUAGUAACGCGUGGGAACAUACCCUUUACUACGGAAUAGCCUCGGGAAACUGAGAGUAAUACCGUAUGUGCCCUUCGGGGGAAAGAUUUAUCGGUAAAGGAUUGGCCCGCGUUAGAUUAGAUAGUUGGUGGGGUAAUGGCCUACCAAGUCUACGAUCUAUAGCUGGUUUUAGAGGAUGAUCAGCAACACUGGGACUGAGACACGGCCCAGACUCCUACGGGAGGCAGCAGUGGGGAAUCUUAGACAAUGGGCGCAAGCCUGAUCUAGCCAUGCCGCGUGUGUGAUGAAGGCCUUAGGGUCGUAAAGCACUUUCGCCAGAGAUGAUAAUGACAGUAUCUGGUAAAGAAACCCCGGCUAACUCCGUGCCAGCAGCCGCGGUAAUACGGAGGGGGUUAGCGUUGUUCGGAAUUACUGGGCGUAAAGCGUACGUAGGCGGAUCAGAAAGUAUGGGGUGAAAUCCCAGGGCUCAACCCUGGAACUGCCUCAUAAACUCCUGGUCUUGAGUUCGAGAGAGGUGAGUGGAAUUCCAAGUGUAGAGGUGAAAUUCGUAGAUAUUUGGAGGAACACCAGUGGCGAAGGCGGCUCACUGGCUCGAUACUGACGCUGAGGUACGAAAGUGUGGGGAGCAAACAGGAUUAGAUACCCUGGUAGUCCACACCGUAAACGAUGAAUGCCAGUCGUCGGGCAGUAUACUGUUCGGUGACACACCUAACGGAUUAAGCAUCC